rnacentral:rRNA from 1 species
AGCGAACGCUGGCGGCAGGCCUAACACAUGCAAGUCGAACGGAUCCUUCGGGAUUAGUGGCGGACGGGUGAGUAACACGUGGGAACGUGCCCUUUGGUUCGGAACAACUCAGGGAAACUUGAGCUAAUACCGGAUGUGCCCUUCGGGGGAAAGAUUUAUCGCCAUUGGAGCGGCCCGCGUCUGAUUAGCUAGUUGGUGAGGUAACGGCCCACCAAGGCGACGAUCAGUAGCUGGUCUGAGAGGAUGAUCAGCCACACUGGGACUGAGACACGGCCCAGACUCCUACGGGAAGCAGCAGUGGGGAAUCUUGCGCAAUGGGCGAAAGCCUGACGCAGCCAUGCCGCGUGAAUGAUGAAGGUCUUAGGAUUGUAAAAUUCUUUCAGCGGGGGCGAUAAUGACGGUACCCGCAGAAGAAGCUCCGGCUAACUUCGUG